rnacentral:rRNA from 1 species
ACCUACGGGACGCAGCAGUGGGGGAUAUUGCACAAUGGGGGGAACCCUGAUGCAGCGACGCCGCGUGGGUGAAGAAGCGCCUCGGCGCGUAAAGCCCUGUCAGCAGGGAAGAAAAUGACGGUACCUGAAGAAGAAGCCCCGGCUAACUACGUGCCAGCAGCCGCGGUAAUACGUAGGGGGCAAGCGUUAUCCGGAUUUACUGGGUGUAAAGGGAGCGUAGACGGCAGCGCAAGUCUGGAGUGAAAUCCCGGGGCUCAACCCCGGAACUGCUUUGGAAACUGCGCGGCUCGAGUGCAGGAGGGGCA